CACACACACUAAGCGCGUUAAACUCUCUAUAAAGGCAUUUGCUUGGUAUUGGGUUUCAAUAUCUAGUUUUGUACCCAGCUCUCUUGAGGGUUGUGGAGUGUAGCUAGUAUUGAACAUGGAGAUCAAUUAUGCUCUGGCAUUGCUCUUAGUCCUCAUUCUCAACUUGGGUAGUUUGCUCACUUCUCUUGCUAACUCCUAUUGCCCACCACCAACAUACCCUCCAGUUCCUCACUUGCCACCCAAACACCCUCCCCAUGUAACUCCACCCUUCCACCCUAAACCACCAAAGAAGCCACCACCAUAUGUCAAACCACCUCAUGCAAAGCCUCCUCCUCAUGUACCAAUCAAACCCCCUCAUGUUAAACCACCCAUUGUAAAACCACCUCCUUAUCCGAAACCUCCAGUUGCCAAACCACCUCCCCAUCCCAAACCUCCUGUUGUCAAACCACCUCCCCAUCCCAAACCUCCUGUUGUCAAACCACCUCCCCAUCCCAAACCUCCUGUUGUCAAACCACCUCCCUAUCCCAAACCUCCUGUUGUCAAACCACCUCACCUAUCCCAAACCUCCUGUUGUCAAACCACCCUCCCUAUCCCAAACCUCCUGUUGUCAAACCACCUCCCUAUCCCAAACCUCCUGUUGUCAAACCACCUCACCAUCCCAAGCCUCCUGUUGUCAAACCACCUCCCCAUCCCAAACCUCCUGUUGUCAAGCCUCCAGUUGUCAAACCACCUCCCCAUCCCAAACCACCAGUUGUACUGCCUCCACCAUAUACCCCGAAGCCCCGGUUGUACUGCCUUCCACCAUAUACCCCGAAGCCCCCGGUUGUGCUGCCUCCACCAUAUACCCCGAAGCCCCCGGUUGUGGCCUCCACCAUAUCCCCCGAACCCCCCCGGUGUAUGUGCUGCCUCCACCAUAUACCCCGAAGCCCCCGGUUGUACUGCCUCCACCAUAUACCCCGAAGCCCCCGGUUGUACUGCCUCCACCAUAUACCCCGAAGCCCCCGGUUGUACUGCCUCCACCAUAUACCCCGAAGCCCCCGGUUGUACUGCCUCCACCAUAUACCCCGAAGCCCCCAGUUGUACUGCCUCCACCAUAUACCCCCAAGCCCCCAGUUGUACUGCCUCCACCAUAUACCCCCAAGCCCCCAGUUGUACUGCCUCCACCUUCACCACCUGUUGUAGUGCCAAGCCCACCAUCAACACCAACCCCAACCCCAGUUGUCCCAGUGAAGCCUC
rnacentral:lncRNA from 1 species